AUAAGACUGUCCUAAGACCAAAUGAACCACCAUGAAGCUUUGAACCAAUUGGCUCCAAACCUUCAUUGUUUCAAGAAGCUUCAUUUGGCCAUCACUGCUCCCUUGGGAGACAGUCAACCUCUGCUGCCACCUCCUGUCAAUACUGUUGCUGUCCAACAUGCCUCCUAGGAUGAAUUGCAGCGCUACAGAUCUUCCUCCGGCCUCUGUUCGCCAGUCUCUAUAGACAAGUUUCCAAGAGCUGGAGUGGCAUCACUCCCUCAAAAAAGACAGUUUGGAAAUACCGCAUCCAUCUGCCAUCAUCACAACAUGGGAG